rnacentral:snRNA from 1 species
AUGCUCGCUUCGGCAGCACAUAUACUAAAAUUGGGACGAUACAGAGAAGAUUAGCAUGGCCCCUGCGCAAGGAUGACAUAGGGAUACAUAAAGAGAUAUUCACCUUC